rnacentral:rRNA from 1 species
GUUAAAAAGCUCGUAGUCGGAUUUCAGUAUUAGGCCCUUCUUCCAAUACGGUUGCUAGUGGUCUUUACUUCCUUAACAGAAUCUUUCAUCUCAUUAAUUUGGGGUGUUUGGGGCCUGUUUCUUUUACUUUGAGAAAAUUAGAGUGUUCAAAGCGGGUUUUCGCCUGGAUAUUACUCUUGGAAUAAUAAUAUAGGACUUUGGUUCUUUUUUGUUGGUGACUUAGAACCGAAGUAAUGAUUGAUAGGGACAGUUGGGGUCAUCCGUACUAUAAAGCGAGAGGUGAAAUUCAUGGACCUUUGUAUGACGAACUACUGCGAAAGCAUUUGACUAGGAUGUUCCCGUUGAUCAAGAACGAAAGUUGGGGGAUCGAAGACGAUCAGAUACCGUCGUAGUCUCAACCAUAAACUAUGCCAGCUAGGGAUUGGAGGAAGAUCAUUUUACGUCUCCUUCAGCACCUUAUGAGAAAUCAAAGCAUUUGGGUUCCGGGGGGAGUAUGGUCGCAAGGCUGAAACUUAAAGGAAUUGACGGGAGGGCACCACCAGGAGUGGAGCCUGCGGCUUAAUUUGAU